AGAGAUUGCUGGUGAGUGAUAGCAUGGUUAAGUGAUGGAGAGAGAUCUAUUUCUUUUUAUUGAUAAUGAGCCUAUUAUCGAUAUUUUGAUUACAUGAAACAUCGCAAACAACAAUAUAACUUGUUUGUAUUGAUAAAUAAAUGAUAUUAAUAUUGUCUAUUAUCUAAAAGGAUUUGCUUGCCUCCAUUUUUUAUGGAACCUUUUACCCCCGACAAUUUCUAGUCAUUCAUGUGACAAUUUAGCAGAAUAUUAACAAUUUUAUACGGAACAACUAAAAUUAUUUAAGGUAGACAAACGGAAGGACUAGUUAUAUUGAUUUUCAUUGUCAUGAAAUAGAGUGAGGAUUAAAGU
rnacentral:lncRNA from 1 species